rnacentral:rRNA from 1 species
UACGAAGGGGCUAGGCGUUGCUCGGAAUCGACUGGCGUAAAGGGGUGCGAGUAGGCGGGUCGUUUAAGUUCAGGGGUGAAAUCCGUGGAGCUCAACUCCAAAACUGCCUUUGAUACUGUAAGAUCUUGAGUUCGGGAGAGGUUGAGUGGAACUGCGAGUGUAGAGGUGAAAUUCGUAGAUAUUCGCAAGAACACCAGUGGC